rnacentral:tRNA from 1 species
UGGGGGGUCGUCUAGGGGCAAGACAACUGACUCUGGAUCAGUGAACGGGGGUUCGAAUCCUCCCCCCCCAACCA